GCAGUAGGAAAGAGCAUAAAUUCAGAACAAGAAUAAAUCUGUACUGAUGGCAAAGAGAACAAAGUACUUUCCAAGUUUUGCAAUCUCAAGACAAGGAGUACCGGCUGAGAACUGGUGCAGAGUGGAAACUUAACCUGCAAGGGCUGUAAUUGCCAUUAGAUCACUCUAUAGGCCUUAAAACCAAGAUACUGUUGAUAUUUCUGUGUACAAGGCAGAGGUGUACCAGAGCAAGGCAUGCAGGUAAAGCCACAGUGAGACUAGGGAAAGCAGUGUGGUUGUUACAUUCCUGAUGUCCAUGUCUUUUAGUCAAAUGAUAAUUAUCCAUUAAUAGCCUCAUAAGUAUGAAUAUGUAAAUAGCUAUGGAAUGCAUUAUUCAUGAAUCACCAGGCAUUAAUUAUUGUAAUUAAGUAUCAUUUGCUACGUUCAUAUUACUAACCCUUCCAGUUAAUGAAUACAUUAGCUAAUCACUGUAGAGCAGAUUCAAUCAAAAUUCCCUGUCUGUGCUAUGGAAGCCUGAGAGAGUUUUAUUGAAUUUAGAUUCAAUAUUGAACAUAUCCAACAUGCUUAUCAGUGUAUUUUUAAUGACAUUAAGUGUGAAUCAUAACCUCCAGUGCAUGAUGCUUGUCCUUGUACCCAGGAGGAUGGAAUGGUACCAGCUGGAAGAGAACGUGGAAGCAGCAGUGGUGCAGCACACGGCAGCAGCUCUGUGAACCAAGCACAACUUCAAUUCUGGGACACGAAAUCCACCUCCACUUUCAAGCCUCAUGUAUAUUCACGCGUACAAUAGGAGAGGGGGGGUGUUUUGUGAGGGAUCUGUCCCAAAAGUGCUGCUGGUGGCAGUGUUCAAGGAGCAAUUCCAAAGCUCAGCUGGAGCUGUUUGCCAGGCAGUGCCUUUGCCAGCAGCAGCAGGACACAGUCCUGGCAGGAUGUGCUCCCAGCCUAAUGGGGCUCAGGGCACUCCUGAAGCACGAAGGAAAAUGAACAGCCCAACCCUGGGUUUUGUCUUUACUCCCUGGAGGUCCAUUUCAACUAAUGGUAAUCUCAGUACCACAGAAAGAAGAUUUGCUGCAGCUUUUGUUUCAUUGCCUUUUUAGGGUUAUAGUUCUCACAAUCAGGCCUUAUGGGUUUUGAAGUAGAAAUUUUGAAUAAUUUAUUGUAAACAAGAGUUUCAUUAUUUUUAGGGAGAAUCACUAACUCAAGAUAUAAAUAUAUAAGUUCAAGUGCUGAAAGUUAAUAUAAGCAAGUAAAAUGCCCUCUUGGCUGAACUUCUGGCUGUCAGGGCAGAAAAAAUAUUUGCAAAGAAAGAAUGAAAUCUUAUUUUGUCUCUGUUAGUUUGAAGCAGAUUUUUUCCUAUUUUUAGUUUCACCAAUGUACUGUAGUCAUGUGCAAUGAGUAAAUGAUUAUUGGAUCUAGUUUCCUCAGUAAUCUGGGAGUAAGAAAAUCUAAAUAAGCAUAUAUCAAGGAUAUUUUCAAAUUCACAAACACAUGGGCUCUUUGUAGUUAAAAUUGUCAUAAGAUACAGCUGCAGACAGGGCUCGGUCCAAGCCUGGAUUUUUAAGAGCCAGAAGUAAGAACAAUGGUCAGUAAAGACAAUCUGCCAUUCCCUGGAGACACUUGGUGAAAUACCCCUCGUGUAUUUUCCAAGCACAGUGAAGAAUAUGCUUUCAUUCAUCCCACAACUGAUGCAAAUCCCUCUGCUCUCCCUUCCAGUGUCUCCAUCACUGCUGCCUCCCCCCUCUUUUCAGAAAUCUUAAUUGUGCCUCAAGCCCAAGCACUGUUAGUUCUCAUUACCCAGCUUUAUGAAUGACAGUCACUGGCAUCUGAAAACCAGUUUGAGUCUCAGUACCACAGAGGGACCCAUUACAGAUGUUACCAACAUGGAGCAUCACAAGCCACACCUCCAAAAAUCAUGACCUUGCUUUUUGACUUUCUUUCAUUUGCAUAUCUUAUAUCCCUCCUCUAAUUCUGAGUAUAUUGAGAUGAUAUUUUCCCAACUUCUUCUCAAUGCCCAAAAUAGUAGGAGUGUGGUUUGAUAUUUCUUUUUUUUAAUAAAUACUGAUUUUCCACAAAAGCAUGAACUCAGCAGGGAGUUUGUGUUUUUAAUUUAAAAAAAAAAUCAACUAUCAAAAAGAUUUGAAGUACAAUUGCAACACUGGAGAUGUAUGAAAAUUUUGCUAUUAUAUCUUAUAUUAAACAUGAAUAAUGGCCUUUUCAGCCCCUUGAAUUCUAAAAAAUCUUAGCAAUUGGAUGUUACAAAAAGGUUAGUACCCAGUAUCAUUAUUCAUCCAGCUAUUUUUUCAUGUUUGCUUUUAUACCUGUUUUCCUUUUAUACCGGUUUUCCUUUAUUUGUCUGACACCUGCACCUCUUAAAAAAUUUAGAGAAUUAUUUCACUUAACCUGGUAUUUGUUUAUUUAUUUUUUCACUUUUAAAACUAGAAAUACCAAGUCUGCAGGAGUGCAGCUGGGGUGGUUGGAGUGGCUGAAGAGCUUCAGUGGGAAGCACCUGCCUGGCCCUGCCCUUCCAGAACUCCUGGAAAACUCUGGGAUGAAGCAGCCUUGGCUGGUGUGUGGUGUUCCUGUGAAGUGUUCAGAAAACAUGGCACACUGAAAGCAAAUGAACAGAGCCAUCAGCAGGAAAUGAGGAGCAGACAUAAAGAGACAAAGGCAGAAGGUUUAUUUGGUGUAUAAAGGAAGGAAAUUUAUGUACACGUGCACAAUGCAGUCGAGGAUACAGAAGUACAAAGAGGAAGAGAGCAGCAUUUCUGAGGCCAGGGGAUGUUUCAUGAUGACAAGGCAUUAGAGGAAGGAAAGAAUUCAAUUACAGGAGCUGAGGGCACAGUUUCCUUCUCAGUAAUCUGGUAUAAGACAUACAAAUGUGUGGUUUUCCCAGCUGAGUGCUUCUGGAAAUAUUCACCUGCUUUUGAGAUACAUUUGAAUUUGUUCUGAAAAGAAAGGAAAAAAAAGGGAUGAAAUGUUCUGAUUUGAUCUGGUGAGCCCCCCAAGCAUGGAAGCACUGCUGGUUUAUGGUCUGGCAGCCUGGAGGAGCAGAGGCCAAAUGGUGCAUUUGAGAGGCUGCAGAAGAGAGCCUGGCUGCCACAGGCAGCUCCCUGCAGCUCGCCGGGCACGGGCUGCACACGAGGACCUUGGGAACUGUAAAAGAGAGAUUACUGCCAGCCAGUGGGAUGGAUGGAAGGAAGGCUCAUUCCC